GCUAGAGUGCACGUCAAUCGCGUUCAUAAAUACAAAUUGUGUAAAAUAAAUACAAUUACCAUUAGUCAUGUAAAUUCGUCCACCAUUUUUCUACUGUACGUACACGUAUUACACGUUGCAUUCUAUAAUAUAUACCAUGUAUAUAAAAUAUUAAAUAUGAAAUAAUGAAAAUCUAAUGUGUGUGUAUAAAUAGCUAUGGUUUUAAACUCUUAGGGUAAAUCUCCUUUUGCGGGAGGAGACCCCCGAGCAAUCGAUAUUACUUCGUUGAAUUUAUUCUGCAAUCAUUAUAUAUCAUAUACGCGUAUUCGUAAGAAAUAUUAAAUAUUUAGAUUUCUACAAAUACUGAUCACGAUAAAUAUUCUAUCGAAAUUAGCAUCAAAUUAAUGGCUGCUAAAAAUAAAUCAUAAUACAAAAUGAAAUAUUUAUCUGAACUGUUGAAUAAUCGACAUUAAAAAGAAAGAAGAUGGCUAAUAGUAAUGAUCAAAUACAUGAUCUUGAUUUGAUCGAAUAUUGAUCUUCUAUUAUUCUUACUUUAAUGUGUAUUAAAUUGAUUUUGAUACUAAAAAAAUAUAUAAAUAAUAGUGAAAAUAAAGGAUGACCAACUGUUAAACACGAAAAAACAGGUAUUCCCCGUUUUUACAGUUGUAUCAAGACGAUAUUUAGUGACGGGCAUUUUCUAUAUACUAUUUUCAUAUUUGCUUAAUUAAUGUGUUAUAAAUAAUCCUUUCAAGUAAAACUCGUUAAAUAUGUAAUAAAACUAUAUUAACGUGUUUAUUUCUAAAUUGUCUUCAUUCUAAAUACCCUAUACCAAUAAUUUUCAAGCAAAAAUCUAGUACGGUUGUACGAUUGUAGUACGAUUUUAAGUGACACUCACUGUAUAUUUAUUUAUAGUGCAUUUAUUGGUACAGUUCGAAAAAUGAACAGAGUUUUAAGUUGUUUAAGUUGCACUAUCGCGCUAUUCGUUUACUGUAACAUUAAUAAAACUUUACGUUAUUACUGAGAACAUUUACUUAUACAGAGCUAAAAAUACAUAGCAUUGAAGGACAUUUUAUCGAUAGCUAAAGUGGAUAAUAGAAUAUGCCAGCGCUUUUACAGCGUCUUAAGAA